AGUGAACGCUGGCGGUAGGCCUAACACAUGCAAGUCGAACGGCAGCACAGUAAGAGCUUGCUCUUACGGGUGGCGAGUGGCGGACGGGUGAGGAAUACAUCGGAAUCUACUUUUUCGUGGGGGAUAACGUAGGGAAACUUACGCUAAUACCGCAUACGACCUACGGGUGAAAGCAGGGGAUCUUCGGGCCUUGCGCGAUUGAAUGAGCCGAUGUCGGAUUAGCUAGUUGGCGGGGUAAAGGCCCACCAAGGCGACGAUCCGUAGCUGGUCUGAGAGGAUGGUCAGCCACACUGGAACUGAGACACGGUCCAGACUCCUACGGGAGGCAGCAGUGGGGAAUAUUGGACAAUGGGCGCAAGCCUGAUCCAGCCAUACCGCGUGGGUGAAGAAGGCCUUCGGGUUGUAAAGCCCUUUUUUUGGGAAAGAAAAGCAGCAGGUUAAUACCCCGCUGUUCUGACGGUACCCAAAGAAUAAGCACCGGCUAACUUCGUG
rnacentral:rRNA from 1 species